rnacentral:rRNA from 1 species
UACGUAGGGGUGCAAGCGUUGUCCGGAAUUAUUGGGCGUAAAGCGCGCGCAGGCGGUCCCUUAAGUCUGAUGUGAAAGCCCACGGCUCAACCGUGGAGGGUCAUUGGAAACUGGGGGACUUGAGUACAGAAGAGGAAAGCGGAAUUCCACGUGUAGCGGUGAAAUGCGUAGAGAUGUGGAGGAACACCAGUGGCGAAGGCGGCGUUUCUGGUCGUGUAACUGACGCUGAGGCGCGAAAGCGUGGGGAGCAAACAGG